AAAAACAAAGAAGCGCCAGAUCCCUAGUGGAUGACGAGGAAGACAGUUAUCGAAAGUUCGGCGGGAGCUGUCUGGGUUCACAGCCCUAGUAUUAGACAAAACAUUUGAGCAAUCAGAUGGACAGAGAAGAUACAGUGGCCUCAU
rnacentral:ncRNA from 2 species